AAUGGAAGUCCGGAGCAAAUGCCAGACGAAGGAUCUGCAGAUGCCGUGAGUCUUGUCUGCCAAGCAGAGAGGAAGUUGCUUCAGGGCAGGGCUCAGCUCCGCCAGGGCUGAAGGAAGCAGCUUUAUUUCCAAUCCUGUUCUGAAGAUGGAGGAAGCUGAGGCACCAGUAACUUAAUGAACUCGCCCAAAGUGACAGAGACAGUAAAUGGCAAGCUGGCUGGUGAACCUGGAGGGUCAAGAAACGACAUUGUUUUCCUGAGCCGCGGUGACAGCGAGGUGACAGAGAUUAAUAGCUUGGUAUUGACUGAGCAACUUCCAGUUCCUUAUCUCUGUCAAGUCAAGGCUGUGUCCAAGGGCUGAAAGUGUUAUUAGACUUAUAAUUGCAAAGACAUUUAAAGGGUUUCCCCUUAAGGGACUAUGAAAUCCAAUAAACCUUUCACAAAACCUCCA
rnacentral:lncRNA from 1 species